rnacentral:tRNA from 1 species
UGCGGCAUAGCGCAGUGGAAGCGCGCGGGUCUUAUUCUCCCCGAGGCCGGUGGUUCGAUUCCACCUGCCGCAACCC